CCUACGGGAGGCAGCAGUGGGGAAUAUUGGGCAAUGGAGGAAACUCUGACCCAGCAACGCCGCGUGAAGGAUGAAGGUCUUCGGAUUGUAAACUUCUGUCGCGAGGGAUGAAGAAUGACUGUACCUCGUAAGAAAGCCUUGGCAAACUACGUGCCAGCAGCCGCGGUAAUCUGUAGGGGGCGAGCGUUGGUCGGAAUGACUGGGCGUACAGGGAGUGUAGGCGAGAUAUUAAGUUAUGUGUGAAAGCCCGUGGCUCAACCGCGGAAUUGCACAUGAAACUGGUAAGCUGGAGUGCAGGAGAGGUAAGUGGAAUUCCCGGUGAAGCGGUGGAAUGCGUAGAUAUCGGGAGGAACACCAGAGGCGAAGGCGACUUACUGGACUGUAACUGACGCUGAGGCGCGAAAGCGUGGGGAGCAAACAGGAUUAGAUACCCCAGUAGUC
rnacentral:rRNA from 1 species